rnacentral:rRNA from 1 species
UACGGAGGGUGCAAGCGUUAAUCGGAAUUACUGGGCGUAAAGCGUGCGCAGGCGGCUUUGCAAGACAGAUGUGAAAUCCCCGGGCUUAACCUGGGAACUGCAUUUGUGACUGCAAGGCUGGAGUGCGGCAGAGGGGGAUGGAAUUCCGCGUGUAGCAGUGAAAUGCGUAGAUAUGCGGAGGAACACCGAUGGCGAAGGCAGUCCCCUGGGCCUGUACUGACGCUCAUGCACGAAAGCGUGGGGAGCAAACAGG